rnacentral:lncRNA from 1 species
UGCAACCUACUCACGGACUAAUAAUAAUCCGUAGCAGCAACGUAGAUUUUUUUUAUACAUUAUUAUCUUGUUAAGAAAAAAAGUUGUAGUGUUGUGUGUUAGUGUAUAAGGCAAUAUAAAAAACAUAUACAUAAACAAAUAAAACAAGGAAAAAAGUAAUAUUGUGCCCAGGGCUCAGAUUGAAACACUCAGAAUAAAUAAAUUUUGCUUGGAUAAAUUUGUGGUUAAGCGUAACGGCAGCAGCCGACUAAUCAAAGGACGACAGUCUAUCCGAUUGCAGGUUUGAUUGAUGAAUUGAAAAAUAAAAACUUACAACUGCGAUUGAAUUUAAUCUAAAAACUUUCAACGAUCAAAUUGGCACUUGGUACUGAACGUACUCGUAGUAAGUUAAUGCAUUUUUUGACAGAGAAAAUUUAUGAUGGAGUUGAAGUUUUAUUGGCACUCACUGAACAACUAGGUACAUUCACACCAGUCACCACUUGUGAGUCGACCUGAUCAUGUUUAUUGUUUAUUGACAGUAUUAGGUACAGUUAUCAGAAGCUCAAAAUAGAAGCAAGUUGUGGAAAAAAAAAAAUAUUUUGAUCUUCUCAACUCUCAAGCAUAUCCUCUCACAGAAGGAACUGAUCAAAAGCUAAUAUAUCUUCUUGAACAAUCAUCUUUAGGUUAACAAAUCAAACGAGGUAUCAUCUAAUAGAAAAAGCGAAACUAAAGUAUCAGAAGGUGAACCAGGUCGUGCUGUGCCUGAAUAAUAAUGACGAUGAAGCAAUUGUACAGGAGUUAUUGUCAAAAUCUUUUUAAAAUGCUGGGGAAUGUGCCGAGUCGAUAACCAGAUUUUUAUGGAAGAGACUGGAAA